UUGGUACGCUGAGAUCUAUUACAAAGCCA
rnacentral:piRNA from 2 species